rnacentral:rRNA from 1 species
AGGCCUAACACAUGCAAGUCGAGCGGUAACAGAGAGUAGCUUGCUACUUUGCUGACGAGCGGCGGACGGGUGAGUAAUGCUUGGGAACAUGCCUUGAGGUGGGGGACAACAGUUGGAAACGACUGCUAAUACCGCAUAAUGUCUACGGACCAAAGGGGGCUUCGGCUCUCGCCUUUAGAUUGGCCCAAGUGGGAUUAGCUAGUUGGUGAGGUAAUGGCUCACCAAGGCNACGAUCCCUANCUGNUUUGAGAGGAUGAUCAGCCACACUGGNACUGAGACACGGCCCAGACUCCUACGGGAGGCAGCAGUGGGGAAUAUUGCACAAUGGGCGCAAGCCUGAUGCAGCCAUGCCGCGUGUGUGAAGAAGGCCUUCGGCUUGUAAAGCACUUUCAGUCAGGAGGAAAGGUUAGUAGUUAAUACCUGCUAGCUGUGACGUUACUGACAGAAGAAGCACCGGCUAACUCCGUGCCAGCAGCCGCGGUAAUACGGAGGGUGCGAGCGUUAAUCGGAAUUACUGGGCGUAAAGCGUACGCAGGCGGUUUGUUAAGCGAGAUGUGAAAGCCCCGGCUCAACCUGGGAACUGCAUUUCGAACUGCAAACUAGAGUGUGAUAGAGGGUGGUAGAAUUUCAGUGUAGCGGUGAAAUGCGUAGAGAUCUGAAGGAAUACCGAUGGC